AAUAGCUCACUAGUCGAGUGACACUGCGCCGAAAAUGUACCGGGGCUAAACAUAUUACCGAAGCUGUGGAUUGUCCUUUGGACAAUGGUAGGAGAGCGUUCUAAGGGCGUUGAAGCAUGAUCGUAAGAACAUGUGGAGCGCUUAGAAGUGAGAAUGCCGGUGUGAGUAGCGAAAGACGGGUGAGAAUCCCGUCCACCGAUUGACUAAGGUUUCCAGAGGAAGGCUCGUCCGCUCUGGGUUAGUCGGGUCCUAAGC
rnacentral:rRNA from 1 species